ACCGCGGUAGCCCAGUUGGUUAGGGCGUCGGCAGUACUGAUGCCGAAGGUCGAAGGUCGCAGGUUUGAAUCCUGCCUGCGAUG